rnacentral:rRNA from 1 species
CAGUAGCCACGGUAAAACGAAGGGUGCAAGCGUUACUCGGAAUUACUGGGCGUAAAGCGUGCGUAGGUGGUGGUUUAAGUCCGUUGUGAAAGCCCUGGGCUCAACCUGGGAAUUGCAGUGGAUACUGGGUCACUAGAGUGUGGUAGAGGAUAGUGGAAUUUCCGGUGUAGCAGUGAAAUGCGUAGAGAUCGGAAGGAACAUCUGUGGCGAAGGCGACUAUCUGGGCCAACACUGACACUGAGGCACGAAAGCGUGGGGAGCAAACAGGAUUAGAUACCCGUGUAGUCCCUGUCUCUUAUAC